UGAGCUUUCGUUGACUUUGGUCAGUUGUCU
rnacentral:piRNA from 1 species